rnacentral:rRNA from 1 species
AGUGUUUAAGACACGGAGCCGAAGCGAAAGCGAGUCUGAAUAGGGCGCUUAGUCAGUGGGGGUAGACGCGAAACCUUAGUGAUCUACCCAUGGUCAGGUUGAAGUCUCGGUAACACGAGAUGGAGGACCGAACCCGUUAACGUUGAAAAGUUUUGGGAUGAGCUGUGUGUAGGGGUGAAAGGCUUAUCAAACUGGGAAAUAGCUCGUUCUCCCCGAAAUGCAUUUAGGUGCAGCCUCGUGGUUGAGUGCGACGGAGGUAGAGCUACCGAUUGGGCUAGGGGGAGUCAAAUCCUACCAAACCCUGACGAACUCCGAAUGCCGUCUCAUAUACACGGGAGUGAGGGUAUGGGUGCUAAGGUCCGUAUCCGAGAGGGAAUCAACCCAGACUAUCCGCUAAGGUCCCCAAAUCUAUGCUAAGUUGGUUAAACGUGGUGUGGUUGCAUUGACAGCUAGGAUGUUUGCUUGGAAGCAGCAAUUCAUUUAAAGAGUGCGUAACAGCUCACUAGUCGAGCGAUCAUGCGUGGAUAAUAAUCGGGCAUAAGCAUAGUACCGAAGCGGUAGAUUUAUGGUAGGGGAGCAUUCUCAUCUGCUGCGAAGGCGAUUCGUAAGGAUCUCUGGAGCGUUGAGAAAAGAAAAUGUAGGCAUAAGUAACGAUUAAGGAUGUGAAAAACAUCCUCGCCAAAAGACCAAGGGUUCCUGAUCAACGUUAAUCGGAUCAGGUUUAGUCGGAUCCUUAGGUGAACCCGAUAGGGGCAGCCGAUGGAAAGCAGGUUUAUAUUCCUGCACCCGCAUAACAACAAAAGUGACGGAAGGACGUGGUGGCUGCGUGCUGACGGAAAUGCACGCUGAGCCGAAUCUUCGGAAGAAGCGAAGUCAUAAAAUCCUUUCCAAGAAAAGCGAGUUAUGCGGUCCGUACCCGAAACCGACACAGGUGGUCAAGUAGAAUAUACUAAGGCGCUCGAGUGAAUCACGGUUAAGGAACUAGGCAAAUUAGUCUCGUAACUUCGGAAUAAGAGACUCCCUCGCAAGAGGGACGCAGAGAAAUGGCGGUGGCGACUGUUUAUCAAAAACACAUGGCUAUGCUAAAUCGAAAGAUGAUGUAUAUGGCCUGACACCUGCCCGGUGCUGGAAGGUUAAAAGGAGAUGUCAGCGCAAGCGAAGCAUUGAAUUGAAGCCCCAGUAAACGGCGGCCGUAACUAUAACGGUCCUAAGGUAGCGAAAUUCCUUGUCGG